rnacentral:lncRNA from 1 species
UCAACUUGCACCAAAUGUGCUACUGUUCAAGAAAACAGCUAGAAAUUGUUAUAGUACACUCUAGUAAGCUAUUCUUUUCUUUUUUUAAUCUUCUUUAUGACAGUAAAAAAAGCAAAAUCAUAAUUAUUUUAAAUUAGUUCCUAUAGACAUGCUUUCUAUGCUUUGCUAUCACAAAUGCUACAGAAUAAGAAAAGAAUGCGUCGAUAGAGACUAACCGAUUAGGCACCAAACAAUAAUAAUAGAACCCAAAGCAAUUGCAGCAAGGACAAGACCGAAUGUUUUUCGAAAUCCAAAGUGCCAAAGAACUUCAAAGUACUUUUAAGAGAAAAUAGAGGGAGUAAUAGCAAAGGAGAAGUUUGUCCUCUUAGAGAAAGAGAAUGGUGAGUUUAUUUAGUGCGGAGGGCCGUCGACAAUCCAAAAUAAUGAAGGAAGAAUAAUAUUUAAUGGAAGAAGAAUAACAUAUAAUGAAUCAAUUAAGGGGAUUGUUCCCUUAAAUGGAUGGGGUAAAUCAAUCCGUUCCACCAAUCAUGCUAUAGUUGCCAUAAAUAAAUAAUACCCUAUUAUAACAUUUGAAAUUUCCAUGAAUAGAACAAGUUACUGAGAUGCUUUUCUCAAAUCAAAUUGGUACAGGAUCAUACCCAAACAGUCAAAACGUGCACAUAUUAGCCUUAUUAAAGUUUUACGAAAAAAUCCGAAAAAUAAAAAAUCAAUUACUGAGAUGCUUUUCUCAAAUCAAAUUGGUACAGGAUCAUACCCAAACAGUCAAAACGUGCACAUAUUAGCCUUAUUAAAGUUUUACGAAAAAAUCCGAAAAAUAAAAAAUCAAUUACUGAGAUGCUUUUCUCAAAUCAAAUUGGUACAGGAUCAUACCCAAACAGUCAAAACGUGCACAUAUUAACCUUAUUAAAGAUUUACAAAAUAAUCCAAAAAAUAAAAAAUCAAUUACUGAGAUGCUUUUCUGAAAUCAAAUUGGUACAGGAUCAUACCCAAACAGUCAAAACGUGCACAUAUUAGCCUUAUUAAAGAUUUACGAAAAAAAUUCGAAAAAUAAAAAUUCAAUUACUGAGAUGCUUUUCUCAAAUCAAAUUGGUACAGGAUCAUACCCAAACAGUCAAAACAUGCACAUAUUAGCCUUACUAAAGAUUUACGAAAAAAUCCUCGAAUCGUCACAUACAUGCUUUUCCCAUACAAAAUUACCCAUAUUGACU